rnacentral:tRNA from 1 species
AGGAGUGUAGCACAGUGGGUAAGGAACUGGGCUUGUAACCGAAAGGUCGCAGGUUCGAUUCAUUACAUUACAU